rnacentral:rRNA from 1 species
UACGUAGGGACCAAGCGUUGUCCGGAAUCAUUGGGCAUAAAGAGCGUGUAGGCGGCUUGUUAAGUCUUGCGUGAAAUCUCGGGGCUCAACCCCGAGCGGUCGUGAGAAACUGGCAGGCUAGAGUGCGGGAGAGGAGAGUGGAAUUCCUGGUGUAGCGGUGAAAUGCGCAGAUAUCAGGAAGAACACCCGUGGCGAAGGCGGCUCUCUGGAACGCAACUGACGCUGAGACGCGAAAGCGUGGGGAGCAAACAGG